rnacentral:rRNA from 1 species
UACGGAGGAUCCAAGCGUUAUCCGGAAUCAUUGGGUUUAAAGGGUCCGUAGGCGGUUUUGUAAGUCAGGGGUGAAAUCCUGGAGCUCAACUCCAGAACUGCCCUUUUGAUACUGGCGAUCUCGAGUCCGGGGAGAGGUGAGUGGAACUGCGAGUGUAGAGGUGAAAAUUCGUAGAUAUUCGCAAGAACACCAGUGGCGAAGGCGGCUCA